GGCUUUUUGAUGAUAAUUUAAAGUCUGACCUGCCCAAUGAUUGAUUUAUUAAAUGGCCGCAGUAUUUUGACUGUGCAAAGGUAGCAUAAUCAUUAGUUUUUUAAUUGAAAGCUUGUAUGAAAGGUUUAAUGAAAAAAUAACUGUCUUUAUGUAAAUUUUUUAAAAGUUUAUUUUUAAGUUAAAAAGCUUAAAUAUGUGUUAAAGACGAGAAGACCCUAUAGAGUUUUAUAUAAAUAUAAGAUUAUUUAAUUUAAGAAUUUUUAGAUAAUUUUAUAAUAGUUAUUUGAUUGGGGUGAUUUAAAAAUUAAUUUAACUUUUUAAUAAUGAAUACAUUUAUUUAUGAAUUUUUGAUCUUUUUAAGAGAUUAGUAGAUAAAAUUACCUUAGGGAUAACAGCGUAAUUUUUCUUAGAGUUCUUAUCAAAAGAAAAGAUUGCGACCUCGAUGUUGGAUUAAAAUUAAUUGUUGGUGUAGAAGCUAAAUAAAUUAGGUCUGUUCGACCUUUAAAAUUUUACAUGAUCUGAGUUUAAACCGGUGUAAG
rnacentral:rRNA from 1 species